ACCUCUUAGUGGUGGAUCAUUCAGCUCAUGCGUUGAUGAACAACACCGCUAGCUGCGAGAAAUAAUGUGAAUUGCAGGACACAUUGACCAUCAACACUUUGAACGCACCGUGCAGCCCCGGGUUCCUCCCAGGGCUACAUCUGUCUGAGGGUCG
rnacentral:rRNA from 1 species